CCUACGGGUGGCUGCAGUCGAGAAUCUUCCGCAAUGGGCGCAAGCCUGACGGAGCGACGCCGCGUGUGGGAUGAAGGCCUCCGGGUUGUAAACCACUGUCGUAGGGGAGGAAAUGCCAGGGGGUUCUCCCCCUGGUUUGACCUAUCCUAGGAGGAAGGACGGGCUAAGUUCGUGCCAGCAGCCGCGGUAAGACGAACCGUCCGAACGUUAUUCGGAAUUACUGGGCUUAAAGGGUGCGUAGGCGGCGCGGAAAGUCGGGUGUGAAAUCCCUCGGCUCAACCGAGGAAUGGCGCUCGAAACUACCGUGCUCGAGGAAGGCAGAGGUGAGCGGAACUCAGGGUGGAGCGGUGAAAUGCGUUGAUAUCCUGAGGAACACCGGUGGCGAAAGCGGCUCACUGGGCCUUUUCUGACGCUGAUGCACGAAAGCUAGGGGAGCAAAC
rnacentral:rRNA from 1 species